GUAACAAUAGUUUCAAGAAAGAAGUUUAGAAAUUGUUUCAAAACUGUUCAAUUAUUAUUGUUAGAAAAAACUGAUGUAGUGGAAGAAGAAUUGAAAAGAAAAAAGUAGAUUUGGGUGAGGGCUUGGAUAAACGAAAGAAAUGAAAAAGAAGGAUAUCUCACGAAAAUACAUGUUCUUUGUACAAAGAAACAGACUGAAGAGUUUUGUCUUCAGUUAACUUUUUUGGAGUAUUUGGAGACUGAAGGUAAACUGUUUACUUAUAAUAUAUAUAUCGUAUAGACCGUGAUCCUAUUCAACUGAACUGUAUUGAACACUGAAAUGGUAUAUUCCCCUGCAGGUUCAUAUUAUUCUAGUAGCAUUCCAGCCCUCGACUGGAAUAAUGUGAUCAGGGCUUAAUUUUAACGAUCCUUUAUUUGGUGAUGUUUUGACAAUCCUGGAAAUAAAUAUUGACUUUUUCAAUAUGAAUCCAUUUGUUCCUAUAUUAUCAUGAAGAUUUUUAUCUUCCAAAAUAGUUAUGUGUUCUUAGUAGUACUAAAAUCAGUGUCUGAUUAUUUUAUGUUAUAAUUUACGAUUUUUAGUCAACUAUUUUUACUAUAUUAAUAAAUAUUAUGUUUUGUGGGAGCUUAUUACUAUAAUCAAAUGAAGAAUUAUAAUUUAGUGAGCAAAUAUAUAUUUCUAAAUAUUAUAAGGUUCUUUAAAAUGACAUUUUAAUUUUAUGACAUUAAUAAAACUAACUGAAGGGCCGGAGGGAAAAAGGGGCAAAGUCCAUUUUUUUUAGUAGUUGAGUUAUUGAUGGAUUGUUGUAGCUCUUGACGAGUACUUUCACAUGAUAUAAUGAUUUGUGGGAAAAACGGGUCAAGUCACCUUAAAAUAAUGGUUUGAAAAAUUGGGCCCAAAGAGAAGAAGGGGUUAAGUCCAGAGCGUAGUGGAAAGAAGUCAAGUCCACAACUAAACGCCGUUGUAUUCAGCAAUUUACCUAUGAAGAUCUUAAUUAAUCGUGACUUUUAUUGUUGUUAUAUAAUAAUUCAGUUUAUUAUAUACGUAUUUACAUCUUAGAAGCAUUAUUUUAAAUACAAAUAAGAUAUUUGCUACUUAACCAGUUGCUGAUUUGAAUCACAGAUGAUUGUGAAUGCAGUGUUUGUUUUGUUGUUCUCUGUCAGUGGUGCAACAGGUUGAGGUUAGUGUGUUGUUGUUAUCUCUAAAUAAUAUUUGUCUAUAUUGGUACAAAAUGAGUGAUAGUGACAUAAGUGAUGAUAGUGUUGUGGAGAAGACUACUAAAAAAAGAAAAGGAUUUGGUAGAUUGCGAGAAGUUUCAAAGAAGAUGAGGGUGCUGAGUCAUGAGUCAGGGGCAGACUGUAAGUGUAGAAUGAAAUGCUUUGAAAAAAUACCUUUACAGGUUAGAGAUAGCAUUAUUUCUAAAUUUAAUCUGAUGCACAAUACAAAUGAACAAAACUCGUAUUUGUGUGGCUUGAUGGCUGUUGUGCCUGUUGAGUAAAUACAGCUGACGCAAAAUUUAGAGAUGUUACAUGCAAAUAUAAAGUUAGGGAUAUGGUCGAUGGGGUAGUUAAUGAGUACGAUGUUUGUCAGAAAGCGUUUUCUGCCAUACAUGGCAUAUCAAAAAAGAAGGUAGAGUAUUUAAUUAACUCAUUGAAAUUGACAGGAUAUUCGCCAAAGUACCAAAGAGGAAAACAUUUAAAUAGAAAACAUGCUAUCCCUGAGGAAACAAAACAACAUUAAGGACCAUAUAAAUUCAUUCAAAGGUCGAGGGGCGCACUAUUGUAUAAAAGACUACAAAAAAAAUAUUUGUCAGAAGACCUGAAUAUAUAAAAAAUGUAUAAACUUUUUCAAGAGCUACAUCCAAACACGCAAGUCUCAUAUGACUCUUACAGAUGUGUUUUUAACAUAGCCUUUGGCUACCCAAGAACAGAUACAUGUAGUUUUUGUGAUGAAAUGCAUAUCAAACUAGAAUCACUGAGAAAUGAUUUGAAAAAUGUUGAAAGUCAAGAAAAAAGAGAUAAAAUUGAAGAAUCCUUGAAGAAAAAAGAAAUGGAAUUCAAAUUACACAAAUUGAAGGCAGACAAAUUUUAUGAUUUAAAAAGAAGAGCCCGAAAGGCUGCAUCGAAAACAAAAACCUAUGAGGCCAUAUGCAUUGAUUAUGGAAAAAAUUUGUGUGUGCCUAAUGUUACCACAAACAAUGUAUAUUACAGAAGACAACUUUCUGUUUUUUGUUUUAUUAUUCACAUUCUCAAUAAUAACACUUCUUACUUUUUUGUCUAUCCAGAGUCAGAAGGUAAAAAAGUAAGUGACAAUGUUUGUCAAAUGCUCUUUGAAUUUUUAAACAACCAUCUCGACAAAAAUGUUGAAAUUCUACAAAUAUAUGCAGACUCUUGCGGAGGUCAGAACAAAAACAUUACGAUGAUACAAUUCCUCCAUUAUAUUAUAUAUAUACAAAACAGGUUUAAGUCUGUACAAAUGACAUUUCCUAUAAGAGGGCACUCAUAUAUGGAGACAGACAAAGACAUGGCUCUAGUAAAAAACAAUUUUAGAGCUGAACUGCCAAGUGACUGGAUUAAUCACAUCAGGCAUUGUAGACAGAAACCUAAUCCAUACGUUGUUGUAGAAGUAGAUUACUCGUUUUGGUAAUCAUGGACUGUGUUUUUUAACUUGACUUACAAGAAAAAACUUAGCGUUCAAACAAGACCCAUAAGAGAAAUCAAGUUCACUAUUGAAUCUGAAAGGCUUAUGUACUUCAGGAAUAAUUAUUCUGGACAUUGGGAAAGCACAGUCAUCACUCUACCAGCCAGGCGUAGAUUCAAUGUAGAACCUUCCACUCUUCCUGAUCACUCUCACACAGGACCAGUGCCAAUAUCAGAUGAAAAAUACGAAGAUUUGGUACAUCUUUCUAAAUUCUGCAGUAAAAUGAAAGCAAAGGAUUACUAUAUAAACCUGCCACACAACGACGAAGCAAGACAAAAAAGGAAAAAAAAAGUGAAGCAAAACUGUUUUUUACCCAUUCAAUAAAUAAUAUUCUUGAUUUUAA